GCCUUUUGAUUUUCUUUUGGAUAGAGAAGCAGGUUGCUGGGUCUCCUCCUUACACAAGCCCAGCAUUCAGGUGUAUUAAUUACACCACCACCGGGGUGUGAUGAUGCCUCUUUUCCAAUCUGAUUUCAGAGAGAAAACAACCAGGUGGAUUCAGCCUUUGUAUUAGGAAUUCAAGGAAGUGUCUGGUAGGACGAGGCCCCGUCCCUGGAGGAAUUCAGUGUGCCAUCUGGGAGAAGCAGAUAACUCAAGAUGAUUAUGCUGUGAGAUAAAGCCUGCUGCGCUGAGGUGUGAGGAAGAAAGAGUCUUGUGGAACUCAGAGAGCAGCUUCAUUUUCAUUUAGACCCUGUCUGGCUGGCCCAGUUGUUGCUACAGCUGUCUCCUAGCAACUGCGCUGCCCCUGGGCCAUUCAUUCCAGGGAAGACCCCCCCCAACCCCCCAGUGAUGAUGUUUCCAUGAGGGCCUAGAAGGGUUCCCAGCCACCAGCCUAGGUCCCUCUGCCGAAUUACACCCACUGAAUCAACACCUCUAUAGACGGGGUCCAGGCGUGUGUGUCUUUCUAAGCAUCCUAGCCAGCACAGCCUCUGAGUUCUGCAGGCCUCGCUUCUUCCUCUCUACUUCUGGCACGCAGAUGUAAAGGGUCCUCUCCCGCAAACACUGCCACGGCUGUCCGCCGCCCUGAAGUCUGUUUCUGCCACCGCUGUUCCUUCCUGAAGACCCCUGUGGAGCGGAAUCGAGGCUCCCGCGCUGCAUCCUCUACCAGCAGCCGCGCCUGCUCUUUCUCCUUCCCAAGGCCUUCAGCAGCACUCAUCUCGGCAGAGCUCAAAAGGAGGCCACGGAAUUGUGUCCCUUCAGAUACCUUCAAGACCGAGGCACCAGCUUACCCUCCCUCAGAGAUGCAAGCUAUACCGCAAACAAAUUAAAUAUCCAGUGCAGUGGUAUUUGCUGGCUGCUUUUAGUUCAUGCCCUAAAUCCUUC
rnacentral:lncRNA from 1 species